rnacentral:rRNA from 1 species
AUUGAACGCUGGCGGAAUGCUUUACACAUGCAAGUCGAACGGCAGCACGGACUUCGGUCUGGUGGCGAGUGGCGAACGGGUGAGUAAUACAUCGGAACGUGCCCAGUCGUGGGGAUAACGUAGCGAAAGCUACGCUAAUACCGCAUACGAUCUAAGGAUGAAAGCGGGGGACCGUAAGGCCUCGCGCGAUCGGAGCGGCCGAUGUCAGAUUAGGUAGGUGGUGGGGUAAAGGCUCACCAAGCCAACGAUCUGUAGCUGGUCUGAGAGGACGACCAGCCACACUGGGACUGAGACACGGCCCAGACUCCUACGGGAGGCAGCAGUGGGGAAUUUUGGACAAUGGGCGAAAGCCUGAUCCAGCAAUGCCGCGUGCAGGAAGAAGGCCUUCGGGUUGUAAACUGCUUUUGUACGGAGCGAAAAGGUCCCCUCUACUACAGGGGGCUCAUGACGGUACCGUAAGAAUAAGCACCGGCUAACUACGUGCCAGCCGCCGCAGUAA